UCUGUUUAUCAUCAUGAUUAUGGUUAAAUAGGUACUAAAGUAAAAUAAUCAAUGAUUGCGUUUUCUUCUUCUCAAUUGACUUGUACGAAAUUUUACUCGCCUCAGCUAGCAAUUUGCCUCAUAGUUGUUUGAUGGCUGAAUCAAAUGAAAAGAAUCCUCCAACUAAAAGGAAACAUUAGCCCUUCUCAUAAAGACUAUAUCUCUACGGACUUUUAGAACCAUUUGUAGUACCCAAUUAGUGGCAAUGGCACUGUUCUAAACAAUUUGGUUUUUAAUUUUAAGAUCUAUUGAUGCGUCCCACGUCGGUUCUGCAGGGAGGUCUUGG
rnacentral:misc_RNA from 1 species